rnacentral:lncRNA from 1 species
CAACCCACAGCCAGGCACAUGUUACUAUUUCUGUAGAGCCUCAGGGACCAGCUGUAUCCUUGGAAGUCUGCUAUUUGGCACCAAAUAGAAGCCAACUACAAUCUACUUUCUUUUCUCAGGAGGAAUAUUCUGGAAGGAUCAGAAAGGAAGAACUUUUAUGAGUAGUCUUCUGAGCAACAUUCAGAACAGGGGUUAAAAUCAGGUUUCAGAAAUAGCAAAACUGAUGCUCAGGGGGAAAAGGAGGACCACGUGGAGGACCAAGAGGAGGAGGAGGAGGAGGACUCUGACACUUACUGAAGUCUUCCCGGUGGCAGCUCUAAGAACAUAAAACCACUGAAACCAAAGGACUGAAUACUUUGUUUCAUGCUGACUUUGUUGUCAUCAGUGUGUUUGGAUGAUCAUCAAUUUUGCAGAGCUUAACCCUUCAAGAUAAAAAUCCUUUUGCCUCUCCCCUGCGAGGUUAAAUGGGAAAAUCUGCCAGGACUGAUGAGCAGCCCAUCAACUAUACAUGUGUGUGGAAUGAAACAGUCUGCCGGAUUUGUGAUUGCACAUCGACGGAGAAGACCUGCUGA